rnacentral:tRNA from 1 species
GAGGGUAUAUUUCACUAGUAGAGUAUGUGCCUAGCAUGCACAAGGUUCUGGGUUCAAUCCCCAGUACCUCCA